rnacentral:lncRNA from 1 species
UGAAUAUUUACUUAGUGCCAGCACCACUCUGGAGAUUGAGCAUACUGUUGUAAACAGAACAGAGAAAGCCUUCAUCCUGGAGCUCACAUUCUAUUGGAGGAGGGGUUAGGGAGAGACAGUAAAAUAAUUACACAGCAUGUUUGGCAAUGUUAAUAAUGUAUCAAAUGUGACUCCAUUAUAAAGUUUAAACAUGAAAUUUUAAAUCCAUGGUUUAUUACCAAAUAUGAGAAUUACUUUUAAAAGUUCAUUGACAAUCCCAGUAACUACUGCCUCAAACAGAACGAAGUUUCUCCAAAUUGAAAUUGUUUUAAACUAUGAAUAUCUUAGUUGAGGUAGCAAGUACAUGAGUAUACACAUUUGUCACAAUGCACUAAAAUGUUACAUUUAGAAUGUGUGCUUUUUAUGGAAUAUAUAAUUUAUACAUCUAAUAAGUUUAUGAAUUAUACAUCUAAUAAAGCAAAUAAAAAUAGAAAAACAAAUAAAAAUUAAUUUCAGAAAGAAACUACCUAAGAAGUACCAUCCCUGAAGACAGAUUUUCCCAGUUUGACAUCAUCAUUGAUAGAUCACAAAUUAUCUGAAAAUACUGAUUAUAACCAUAUAGUUAGCCAUUGUGCUGUCAUGAGAACAAGAAAAUAGGUAUUGCAUUAUGAAUAUACAGCAGUUUGUGAAAUACAUAUGCCUUGAGUUUACUGCUUAUGCAAACAUCAUUGGCCUGUAAACUGAACACCAAGUCUCAUACAAUAAUUACAUUCAGUCAUCUUUGAUAUUUUGCUAAACUUCAGUUAUAUAGAAACCAUAUUAUUACACAGAAAAAUUGUAUUUUGUUGUUUUCAGAUGUUUAUGUACACAUUGGAGCUCAGGACAUAUUUUAUUCAACAGUUUGUUAGUUUGCAUUAUAACAUUUAAAUUUUAGACAGUUAGUGUGUGGACUGCCCUGUAUUCUCUUGCCUGGAGUCUCACCAAUGUCAAAGAUGGACCUGCCCAGUAGCUCUUCUUUCACCUUGAAGGUAACACAGGGCACCGGUUGAAAGCAAAGCCACAAGAAUCACUAAGUUAAGUCCAGUUCUGUCCUGCACAGCUGUGUGUCCUGGGGCAAGGCACUCUCUGCUCAGAGCCUCACUUUCCCCACCUGUAAAAUGGAGCUGAUAGAAGAUACUUUGUCGGGAUACAGGGACAUUGGUGGACGCUAAUGGAGUCCUGCUUCUCUUUAGAGGUUGAAGAGCCAUCUCUGCCCAGAACAUUUCCAGCUUGGGUUUUUCAACAACCCACGGAGCUCUCCUGCCUUGAACUUGAAUCAUGCUGGAGUUUCGAGAGAGCAGUUACAUGUCCAUUUCCUUCAAUUAUCAGUGAAAGAUAAAGUGCCCUGGCUCUCGGCCCCAGAUGCCACCUGGCCUGGCCCAUCUAGGGUUUCCAUUAUGAGCCAAGGUAGAAAAACCGGGCCUGCAGGUUUAUUCUCUGUCCCUGGCCCUCUAACUAAUAGGACUUCAGCCACUCUCUUGAGCAUAAAGCUUUCUCUCCGGGCAAAGCCAACCAAUUUGAAUGGCACUCACGGCUCAUGUCUGUAUGUCAUGAGCUCCUGAGUACUCCAAGGGGCCAGAGCAAUAAAUCUAUUAGGUCUCCUUUGUCCCAUCUUGUCGUGAACUUCUAAGAAAAAGGCACUAAGAGGAUCAGUACCCAGAAAACCUUCAUAAUUGUGGCUUCUACACGGCGAAUGAGGACAAUUACCAAGGCAACCGGCCAAUCAUUCUGGUUAAGGGCAGAGAGAGUUUAGUCAAGAAGAGGCUCUUGCGAACUGUAUUGCGCUGUAAUCAGAGUAACCAACAUUUUAAAAGGCCCUUGUGCAAAAACAGGAGGGAUGGCAGGGAAGGGAAAAAGAAGAGGGGGGUAAAUUAAUUUCCUCUCAUUUCCUGCCUGGUCCAUUGAUUGCGGUCCAAAGGCAAGAUGAUCUGCUGUACUCUUGCACCUGGGGCCACGGGAGCUGGCAGAGGAGCCGACAAUGUUGUCUAUCUUAUGCCUGCAUCUAUUUAUUUAUCUUCCCCUCUAGGCUCAGCAUCUGUAGCAGAGAUCUCAUGAAG